rnacentral:rRNA from 1 species
GCGUAAUGAAAGUAAAGAGUUAGAAAGAUUAAAAAUAAAAUUUUUUUUAUCUUUUGAUUCUUUCUCUCAAGGGAAGAUGGAAGACUUGAUUAAUAAAAAAGAAAAUUUUUUUUUUUUUUUUUAAAUUUUGGAUUCCCGCAUUCCCAGGGCGCUUGUGUCUCGCUUUGCGAGUCUAUGCGCACCUAGAGCGUACACGAUGAUACCCGAAAGAUGGUGAACUAUGCCUGGCCAGGACGAAGCCAGGGGAAACCCUGGUGGAGGUCCGCAGCGAUUCUGACGUGCAAAUCGAUCGUCAGAGCUGGGUAUAGGGGCGAAAGACCAAUCGAACCAUCUAGUAGCUGGUUCCCUCUGAAGUUUCCCUCAGGAUAGCUUGCGCUCGGUUAAGAAGAGUCUCAUCCGGUAGAGCGAAUGAUUAGAGGCAUUGGGGUCGAAACGACCUCAACCUAUUCUCAAACUCCAAAUAGAUGAGACCCCCGGCU